rnacentral:rRNA from 1 species
GAUGAACGCUAGCUACAGGCUUAACACAUGCAAGUCGAGGGGCAGCAUGAACUUAGCUUGCUAAGUUUGAUGGCGACCGGCGCACGGGUGAGUAACACGUAUCCAACCUGCCGAUGACUCGGGGAUAGCCUUUCGAAAGAAAGAUUAAUACCCGAUGGCAUAGUUCUUCCGCAUGGCAGAACUAUUAAAGAAUUUCGGUCAUCGAUGGGGAUGCGUUCCAUUAGGUUGUUGGCGGGGUAACGGCCCACCAAGCCUUCGAUGGAUAGGGGUUCUGAGAGGAAGGUCCCCCACAUUGGAACUGAGACACGGUCCAAACUCCUACGGGAGGCAGCAGUGAGGAAUAUUGGUCAAUGGACGAGAGUCUGAACCAGCCAAGUAGCGUGAAGGAUGACUGCCCUAUGGGUUGUAAACUUCUUUUAUACGGGAAUAAAGUGAGGCACGUGUGCCUUUUUGUAUGUACCGUAUGAAUAAGGAUCGGCUAACUCCGUGCCAGCAGCCGCGGUAAUACGGAGGAUCCGAGCGUUAUCCGGAUUUAUUGGGUUUAAAGGGAGCGUAGGCGGACGCUUAAGUCAGUUGUGAAAGUUUGCGGCUCAACCGUAAAAUUGCAGUUGAUACUGGGUGUCUUGAGUACAGUAGAGGCAGGCGGAAUUCGUGGUGUAGCGGUGAAAUGCUUAGAUAUCACGAAGAACUCCGAUUGCGAAGGCAGCUUGCUGGACUGUAACUGACGCUGAUGCUCGAAAGUGUGGGUAUCAAACAGGAUUAGAUACCCUGGUAGUCCACACAGUAAACGAUGAAUACUCGCUGUUUGCGAUAUACAGUAAGCGGCCAAGCGAAAGCGUUAAGUAUUCCACCUGGGGAGUACGCCGGCAACGGUGAAACUCAAAGGAAUUGACGGGGGCCCGCACAAGCGGAGGAACAUGUGGUUUAAUUUGAUGAUACGCGAGGAACCUUACCCGGGCUUGAAUUGCAACUGAAUGAUGUGGAGACAUGUCAGCCGCAAGGCAGUUGUGAAGGUGCUGCAUGGUUGUCGUCAGCUCGUGCCGUGAGGUGUCGGCUUAAGUGCCAUAACGAGCGCAACCCUUAUCGAUAGUUACCAUCAGGUUAUGCUGGGGACUCUGUCGAGACUGCCGUCGUAAGAUGUGAGGAAGGUGGGGAUGACGUCAAAUCAGCACGGCCCUUACGUCCGGGGCUACACACGUGUUACAAUGGGGGGUACAGAAGGCAGCUACACGGCGACGUGAUGCUAAUCCCUAAAGCCUCUCUCAGUUCGGAUUGGAGUCUGCAACCCGACUCCAUGAAGCUGGAUUCGCUAGUAAUCGCGCAUCAGCCACGGCGCGGUGAAUACGUUCCCGGGCCUUGUACACACCGCCCGUCAAGCCAUGAAAGCCGGGGGUACCUGAAGUGCGUAACCGCAAGGAGCGCCCUAGGGUAAAACUGGAGA